GACGUAGGUGGCAAGCGUUGUCCGGAGUUAUUGGGCGUAAAGGGCGCGUAGGUGGUGGCUUAAGCGUGCGGUGAAAGCUCGGGGCUCAACUCCGAGUCGGCCGUGCGAACUGGGCUCACUGGAGCAUAGUAGAGGCAGGUGGAAUUCCGGGUGUAGCGGUGGAAUGCGUAGAGAUCCGGAAGAACACCGGUGGCGAAGGCGGCCUGCUGGGCUAUGGCUGACACUGAGGCGCGACAGCGUGGGGAGCAAACAGG
rnacentral:rRNA from 1 species